UAUUUUCCUCGGUCCAGCUUCUCGCAUGGAAGAAAUACCCUGUCGUUUCAGGUACUCUUCAACUUUGUCCUCAUCUAUAGAAUCCAUGGGAAUGCUCCUCCACAGCUUCCGAAACUCUUCGUCCACAGAGAAAUGACAGCUCUUGUCAUUGUAGUAAAGAAGCUGCCUCUUAUCAGGGCGGGUAACAAAGAGAAUUUGGUCCCCUAAAGCCUUUAUAGCUUUAUGUGCAUUGGGUAGCCCUUCCUCAAUUUCUUCUAAAAAGAUUCCUCCC
rnacentral:lncRNA from 1 species